GUCUACGCCGUGCCACCCUGAACAAGCCAGGUCCCGUCUGUUCUCAGAAACUAAGUAGGUUCGGGCCUGGUUAGUACUUGGAUGGGAGACCACCUAGGAAGAACAGGUGCUGUAGGUG
rnacentral:rRNA from 1 species